UUUGGAAAAGGAAAGGAAGUAAAAGAAAAGAAAAAAGAAAGGAAGGAAAGAAAGGAGAUUUUACG
rnacentral:ribozyme from 1 species